CACCAAGCCUCUUUGUCAGGACGUCGUUACAAUGGUUACAUCUCUUGGGUAGACUUGUCUGUCCUCGUCAUGAUUAUAGUCCAUUAACUCCUCAUAACCUCGUCUGUUACUGUCUUGGAAGAACAACUUGUCCCGUUGACGUUAUUCGAUAACAAUGGAAAGGAUAGCUAAUUCGUUCUGAAUGUGCACACCUUAUCCCAUUCUAACGGUUCAAGAGAGAACCCAUUAGAGUUGAAUGCAGUUUUCCCCCAAGGCGAAUAGCCUAUGUAUGGGAUUUAACACUGCGUUCGUAGUAUGGAAACUCAUAUUU
rnacentral:snoRNA from 1 species